GGGGCCGACAGGUUUCGACGGCGGUUUAUCUCAUCCAGCUGGCACGUCGGGAAUGCAGAGUAUCCCGUAAAAGGCCUUUGCAAGACUAUAAGUGCCAAGAAUAUAAAUCGCACUGAGUUCGCUCUCGCCGCCUAGUUUGCGGUAAGACUUACUCCCUCCGCUCAUUUCGCCUUAAAGAAAGCGGGGAUGAUAAUUUUAAAGGCUUGCCUCCGCGCCGGAGCUUACGGGCGCAGGGGGACUUUUUGAAAGCUAAGCCGUCUGUAGAUUGUCUGUAGAGAUACAGAGGCUGAAAAACUGACUAUACGGACUAAACGUGUAGAAGGCUGGAUAGGGAACCGUCGGACCCGGGUUCAACUCCCGGCGACUCCACUA
rnacentral:tmRNA from 1 species